rnacentral:rRNA from 1 species
CCUACGGGAGGCAGCAGUGAGGAAUAUUGGUCAAUGGACGCGAGCCUGAACCAGCCAAGUCGCGUGCGGGAAGACGGUCCUAUGGAUUGUAAACCUCUUUUGUCGGGGAGCAAACGACGCCACGCGUGGCGUUCCGAGAGUACCCGAAGAAAAAGCAUCGGCUAACUCCGUGCCAGCAGCCGCGGUAAUACGGAGGAUGCGAGCGUUAUCCGGAGUUAUUGGGUUAAAAGGGUGUCCAAGGGGAAGAAAAAGUCAGCGGUAAAAUGGCGGGGCACAAACCCUUCGAGCCGUCGAAACUGGUUUUCUUGAGUCAGCGAGAAGUAAGCGGAAUGUGUGGUGUAGCGGUGAAAUGCAUAGAUAUCACGCAGAACUCCGAUAGCGAAGGCAGGAUACCGGCGCUCAACUGACGCUCAGGCACGAAAGUGUAGGGAGCGAACAGGAUUAGAUACCCCAGUAGUC